UUUUAUAUAUACUAAGAAUACGAAAGAGAAAGUAAAAGUGUUGGUUUUGGUUUCUUUUUAUGAACAAACAAAGCAAACCCAAAGCGCAAAAGUUGAAAAAGAAAAGG